rnacentral:rRNA from 1 species
AACGAACGCUGGCGGCAUGCCUAACACAUGCAAGUCGAACGGGAUCCGGACUUCGGUCCGGUGAGAGUGGCGGACGGGUGAGUAACACGUGGGAACCUGCCCAUUGGUCUGGGAUAACCGCGGGAAACUGCGGCUAAUACCGGAUGUACCCGUGAGGGGAAAGAUUUAUCGCCGAUGGAGGGGCCCGCGUCCGAUUAGGUAGUUGGUGGGGUAAUGCCUACCAAGCCAACGAUCGGUAGCUGGUCUGAGAGGAUGAUCAGCCACACUGGGACUGAGAUACGGCCCAGACUCCUACGGGAGGCAGCAGUGGGGAAUAUUGGACAAUGGGGGCAACCCUGAUCCAGCAAUGCCGCGUGAGUGAUGAAGGCCUUAGGGUUGUAAAGCUCUUUUGCCAGGGAAGAUGAUGACGGUACCUGGAGAAUAAGCCCCGGCUAACUUCGUGCCAGCAGCCGCGGUAAUACGAAGGGGGCUAGCGUUGUUCGGAAUUACUGGGCGUAAAGGGCGCGUAGGCGGCCGUUUAAGGUU